UUCACUCCUGCGGGAGGCAGCAGUGGGGAAUUUUGGACAAUGGGCGAAAGCCUGAUCCAGCCAUGCCGCGUGCAGGAUGAAGGCCUUCGGGUUGUAAACUGCUUUUGUACGGAACGAAACGGCCUUUUCUAAUAAAGAGGGCUAAUGACGGUACCGUAAGAAUAAGCACCGGCUAACUACGUGCCAGCAGCCGCGGUAAUACGUAGGGUGCAAGCGUUAAUCGGAAUUACUGGGCGUAAAGCGUGCGCAGGCGGUUAUGUAAGACAGUUGUGAAAUCCCCGGGCUCAACCUGGGAACUGCAUCUGUGACUGCAUAGCUAGAGUACGGUAGAGGGGGAUGGAAUUCCGCGUGUAGCAGUGAAAUGCGUAGAUAUGCGGAGGAACACCGAUGGCGAAGGCAAUCCCCUGGACCUGUACUGACGCUCAUGCACGAAAGCGUGGGGAGCAAACAGGAUUAGAUACCCCUGUAGUCCCA
rnacentral:rRNA from 1 species